rnacentral:rRNA from 1 species
GACGAACGCUGGCGGCGUGCCUAACACAUGCAAGUCGAACGGAAAGGCCCUGCUUUUGUGGGGUGCUCGAGUGGCGAACGGGUGAGUAACACGUGAGUAACCUGCCCUUGACUUUGGGAUAACUUCAGGAAACUGGGGCUAAUACCGGAUAGGAGCUCCUGCUGCAUGGUGGGGGUUGGAAAGUUUUGGCGGUUGGGGAUGGACUCGCGGCUUAUCAGCUUGUUGGUGGGGUAGUGGCUUACCAAGGCUUUGACGGGUAGCCGGCCUGAGAGGGUGACAGGCCACAUUGGGACUGAGAUACGGCCCAGACUCCUACGGGAGGCAGCAGUGGGGAAUAUUGCACAAUGGGCGGAAGCCUGAUGCAGCAACGCCGCGUGCGGGAUGACGGCCUUCGGGUUGUAAACCGCUUUCGCCUGUGACGAAGCGUGAGUGACGGUAAUGGGUAAAGAAGCACCGGCUAACUACGUG